rnacentral:lncRNA from 1 species
CAAGGCGGGAAAUGGGUGGGGGAGCAGCCAAGGGGAGGGGCAGGCUGUGGAGCUGCUUUGCCGGUGGUCGCGCGGGUGAACGGCAGUUUUGUCAGCUCCUUCAAGGACCAGGUCCUGCGCAUCAGUACUAGGGCCAUCCCCCAGGAGCAAAGGUCCUGGCUCCAUGUCUCAAUGUUUGGAGCCACUCUCACAACCUAGAUUGCUCUCUCCGUUACACCUUGCGCGUCUCUGACGACUGAGCCGAGAUACUUCUUUUGUCUCCUCCCAGCCUUGCUCAUCAACCCCCAACCCCCAAAUAUGUUUAUUUGAAUGCCAGUACUUCUAGCUCUAGAACCAACAUUUUCGGUUAACCAGCACCCUUGCCAAACACAUGACCGUGAUUUAAAACAACAAGAAAGCAACGACCCAACACAAUCUUGACGGCUACUGAUGCUAAAGACCGCUGCUGAAAGUUCUAAAUGGGGAGUGAGUAAUUCCAACCCUUGAAUUGGUUGCUUUGAGUUAAGGUUAAAGAAUGAUUCUUCUUGGCAGGGCGCUGUGGCUCACGCCUAUAAUCCCAGCACUUUGGGAGGCCGAGGCGGGCGGAUCACCUGAGAUCAGGAGUUCGAGACCAGCCUGGCCAACACGGUGAAACCACGUCUCUACUAAAAAUAACAAAAAUUAGCCGGGCGUGGUGGCUGGCGCCUAUAAUCCCAGCUACUAGGGAGGCUGAGGCUGGAGAAUCGCUUGAACCCGGG